rnacentral:rRNA from 1 species
GACGAACGCUGGCGGCGUGCCUAAUACAUGCAAGUCGAGCGAAUCAAUAGGAGCUUGCUCCUGUUGGUUAGCGGCGGACGGGUGAGUAACACGUGGCAACCUGCCUGUAAGACUGGGAUAACACCGGGAAACCGGUGCUAACACCGGAUAAUCCUUUUCCUCUCAUGAGGAAAAGCUGAAAGACGGUUUCGUCUGUCACUUACAGAUGGGCCCGCGGCGCAUUAGCUAGUUGGUGAGGUAACGGCUCACCAAGGCGACGAUGCGUAGCCGACCUGAGAGGGUGAUCGGCCACACUGGGACUGAGACACGGCCCAGACUCCUACGGGAGGCAGCAGUAGGGAAUCUUCCACAAUGGACGAAAGUCUGAUGGAGCAACGCCGCGUGAGCGAUGAAGGCCUUCGGGUCGUAAAGCUCUGUUGUUAGGGAAGAACAAGUACCGGAGUAACUGCCGGUACCUUGACGGUACCUAACCAGAAAGCCACGGCUAAUUACGUGCCAGCCGCCGCGGUAACAC